CAGCAGCCGCGGUAAUACGAAGGGUGCAAGCGUUACUCGGAAUUACCGGGCGUAAAGCGUGCGUAGGUGGUGGUUUAAGUCCGUUGUGAAAGCCCUGGGCUCAACCUGGGAAUUGCAGUGGAUACUGGGUCACUAGAGUGUGGUAGAGGAUAGUGGAAUUUCCGGUGUAGCAGUGAAAUGCGUAGAGAUCGGAAGGAACAUCUGUGGCGAAGGCGACUAUCUGGGCCAACACUGACACUGAGGCACGAAAGCGUGGGGAGCAAACAGGAUUAGAUACCCCUGUAGUCCCUGUCUCUUAUAC
rnacentral:rRNA from 1 species